UACGGGGGGUGCGAGCGUUGUCCGGAAUCACUGGGCGUAAAGGGCGCGUAGGUGGUUUGAUAAGGGUGUGGUGAAAGCCCGGGGCUCAACCCCGGGUCUGCCGUGCCGACUGUCAAACUCGAGGGCUGUAGAGGCAGACGGAAUUCCGGGUGUAACGGUGGAAUGCGUAGAGAUCCGGAGGAAGACCGGUGGCGAAGGCGGUCUGCUGGGCAGUUUCUGACACUGAGGCGCGACAGCGUGGGGAGCAAACAGG
rnacentral:rRNA from 1 species